CCAGAGGACGGGUCCGCGUCCCAUCAGCUAGUUGGUGAGGUAAUGGCUCACCAAGGCGAAGACGGGUAGCUGGUCUGAGAGGAUGAUCAGCCACACUGGAACUGAGACACGGUCCAGACUCCUACGGGAGGCAGCAGUGGGGAAUAUUGCGCAAUGGGCGAAAGCCUGACGCAGCCACGCCGCGUGAGCGAUGAAGGUCUUCGGAUCGUAAAGCUCUGUGGGGGGAGAAGAAGAAAGUCGGUGAAGAGCCGACCCUGACGGUAUCCCCUUAGCAAGCACCGGCUAACUCCGUGCCAGCAGCCGCGGUAAUACGGAGGGUGCAAACGUUGCUCGGAAUCAUUGGGCGUAAAGCGCGCGUAGGCGGCUGAACAAGUUGGAUGUGAAAGCCCUGGGCUCAACCUAGGAUGUGCAUUCAAAACUGUUCGGCUUGAGUCUCGGAGGGGGUCAGAGAAUUCUCGGUGUAGAGGUGAAAUUCGUAGAUAUCGGGAG
rnacentral:rRNA from 1 species